UACAGAGGGUGCAAGCGUUAAUCGGAAUUACUGGGCGUAAAGCGCGCGUAGGCGGCUGUCUAAGUCGGGUGUGAAAGCCCCGGGCUCAACCUGGGAACUGCAUUCGAUACUGGACGGCUAGAGUAUGAGAGAGGGGAGGUAGAAUUCCACGUGUAGCGGUGAAAUGCGUAGAUAUGUGGAGGAAUACCGGUGGCGAAGGCGGCCUCCUGGUUCAAUACUGACGCUGAGGUGCGAAAGCGUGGGGAGCAAACAGG
rnacentral:rRNA from 1 species